rnacentral:rRNA from 1 species
UACGGGGGGUGCGAGCGUUGUCCGGAAUCACUGGGCGUAAAGGGCGCGUAGGUGGCGUCGUAAGUCUGUGGUGAAAGCCCGGAGCUCAACUCCGGGUCUGCCGCGGAUACUGCGAGGCUUGAGUGCUGUAGAGGGGGGUAGAAUGCCGGGUGUAGCGGUGGAAUGCGUAGAGAUCCGGCAGAAGACCGGUGGCGAAGGCGGCCCCCUGGGACGGUACUGACGCUGAGACGCGAAAGCCAGGGGAGCGAACGGG